AGUGAACGCUGGCGGUAGGCCUAACACAUGCAAGUCGAACGGCAGCACAGUAAGAGCUUGCUCUUACGGGUGGCGAGUGGCGGACGGGUGAGGAAUACAUCGGAAUCUACUUUUUCGUGGGGGAUAACGUAGGGAAACUUACGCUAAUACCGCAUACGACCUACGGGUGAAAGCAGGGGAUCUUCGGACCUUGCGCGAUUGAAUGAGCCGAUGUCGGAUUAGCUAGUUGGCGGGGUAAAGGCCCACCAAGGCGACGAUCCGUAGCUGGUCUGAGAGGAUGAUCAGCCACACUGGAACUGAGACACGGUCCAGACUCCUACGGGAGGCAGCAGUGGGGAAUAUUGGACAAUGGGCGCAAGCCUGAUCCAGCUAUACCGCGUGGGUGAAGAAGGCCUUCGGGUUGUAAAGCCCUUUUGUUGGGAAAGAAAAGCAGCAGGUUAAUACCCCGCUGUUCUGACGGUACCCAAAGAAUAAGCGCCGGCUAACUUCGUG
rnacentral:rRNA from 1 species